rnacentral:rRNA from 1 species
UAAAAUUUAUAAAAUUAGGUAGUAAAGAAAUUUCUGAAACCUAAAGAAUUUGGCGGUAUUUUAAAUAAUUGGAGGAACCUGUUAUUUAAUUGACAACCCACAACAUAUCUCACCUAAAUUUUAUUUGUAUAUCGUCGUUUUGAUAAUAUUUAAAAAUUAUAAUCAAGGGCAAUAAAUUUUUUAAAAUCAGAUCAAGGUGCAGUAUAUUUAGGUUAUAAUGGGUUACAAUAUAAAUAUUAUAUUAUGGAUAUAAAUUUGAAAAUAUAUUUGAAGGUGGAUUCAAAAGUAAUGUUAAAUUAAAAUGUUAACUUGAUUAAAAAUUUAAAAUAUGC